GCCUAUACAUGCAGUCGAACGGUGUCUUCGGACAUAGUGGCGCACGGGUGCGUAACACGUAUGCAACCUACCUUACAUUGGGGGAUAGCCUUUCGAAAGGGAGAUUAAUACCGCAUAAGACAGUAACUUGGCAUCAAGUAGCUGUUAAAGAUUUAUCGAUGUAAGCUGGGCAUGCGUCCAAUUAGCUAGUUGGUGAGGUAACGGCUCACCAAGGCUAUGAUUGGUAGGGGAACUGAGAGGUCAAUCCCCCACACUGGCACUGAGAUACGGGCCAGACUCCUACGGGAGGCAGCAGUAGGGAAUAUUGGGCAAUGGACGCAAGUCUGACCCAGCCAUGCCGCGUGCAGGAUGAAGGCGUUAUGCGUUGUAAACUGCUUUUAUACAGGAAGAAACGACUCUUGCGAGAGGCAUUGACGGUACUGUAUGAAUAAGCACCGGCUAACUCCGUGCCAGCAGCCGCGGUAAUACGGAGGGUGCAAGCGUUGUCCGGAUUUAUUGGGUUUAAAGGGUGCGCAGGUGGUUUAUUAAGUCAGUGGUGAAAGACGGUCGCUCAACGAUUGCAGUGCCAUUGAAACUGGUAGACUUGAGUAAAGUAGAGGUGGGCGGAAUUGAUAGUGUAGCGGUGAAAUGCAUAGAUAUUAUCAAGAACUCCAAUUGCGUAGGCAGCUCACUUGGCUUUUACUGACACUCAUGCACGAAAGUGUGGGUAUCAAACAGGAUUAGAUACCCUGGUAGUCCACNCUGUAAACGAUGAUAACUAGGUGUCGGCCGAAUCUGGUCGGUGCCNCCAGCGAAAGCGUUAA
rnacentral:rRNA from 1 species